UCCGUAGGUGAACCUGCGGAGGGAUCAUUACCGAGUUUACAACUCCCAAACCCCUGUGAACAUACCAAUACUGUUGCCUCGGCGGGACUCGCCCCGGCGCCCUCGGGCCCGGACCCAGGCGCCCGCCGGAGGACCCCAACUCUUGUCUUUACUGAGUAUCUUCUGAGUGACACAAGCAAAUAAAAUCAAAACUUUCAACAACGGAUCUCUUGGUUCUGGCAUCGAUGAAGAACGCAGCGAAAUGCGAUAAGUAAUGUGAAUUGCAGAAUUCAGUGAAUCAUCGAAUCUUUGAACGCACAUUGCGCCCGCCAGUAUUCUGGCGGGCAUGCCUGUUCGAGCGUCAUUUCAACCCUCAAGCCCCCGGGCUUGGUGUUGGGGAUCGGCCCGCCCCCGCGCGGCGCCGGCCCCGAAAUCGAGUGGCGGUCUCGCUGUAGCCUCCUCUGCGUAGUAGCAACACCUCGCACCGGAACGCAGCGCGGCCACGCCGUGAAACCCCCCACCUUCUGAAGGUUGACCUCGAAUCAGGUAGGACUACCCGCUGAACUUAAGCAUAUCAAUAAGCGGAGGAA
rnacentral:rRNA from 1 species